AACGAACGCUGGCGGCAGGCUUAACACAUGCAAGUCGAGCGCGCCGCAAGGGGAGCGGCAGACGGGUGAGUAACGCGUGGGAAUCUACCCAUCUCUACGGAAUAACGCAUGGAAACGUGUGCUAAUACCGUAUACGUCCUUCGGGAGAAAGAUUUAUCGGAGAUGGAUGAGCCCGCGUUGGAUUAGCUAGUUGGUGGGGUAAAGGCCUACCAAGGCGACGAUCCAUAGCUGGUCUGAGAGGAUGAUCAGCCACGCUGGGACUGAGACACGGCCGAGACGCCUACGGGAGGCAGCAGUGGGGAAUAUUGGACAAUGGGCGCAAGCCUGAUCCAGCCAUGCCGCGUGAGUGAUGAAGGCCCUAGGGUUGUAAAGCUCUUUCACCGGUGAAGAUAAUGACGGUAACCGGAGAAGAAGCCCCGGCUAACUUCGUGCCAGCCGCCGCGGUAACAC
rnacentral:rRNA from 1 species